UGGGGCGUCGCCAAGUGGUAAGGCUGCGGUUUUUGGUACCGCCAUUCGCAGGUUCGAAUCCUUCCGCCCCAG
rfam:Chlamydomonas reinhardtii strain CC-503 cw92 mt+ chloroplast, complete genome.